UGCAUAUCUGUGAUGUUCUAAAUUAAUGUCUGAACAUAUGAUACAAAAUGAUUUCAGACUUCUACUGAGAUGAAUGCA